GAGUGGUCAUGAGAGGCUUCGAGGCUGCCAGGCUGCCAAGGAGGUGGAUAAAGAGAAGCGGGAUCAGUAGGUCCUGUGCACUCUGGUGUUCGGAGGAGGGCGCCGGAAAAGCAGGGAGCGGACGAGAAGGUAUGGAGACAAAGAAAAAAGGGCAGUAAAGUAUUACAGGACAAAAGGAGAAAUUAGGCUGUCAACAAGUUGGAGCCUGUACAGUUUCUGGAAAGAAACAUGGAACAGUUGGAGCUUGAGUGGUCCCCUAUCACUGUCUUGUGCAAAUUCCACUGUGGUAGGUAGGGAUCCAUCCUGGUCCCUGUGACAGUGAGGAGGGGUGAGGCUCUGGGACAUUCCAGAC